AUGGUUUCUACACCCAAUCAGAAUGCAGGAAAAGGAGUUCUUAUCAGCUGUCAGUUUUCCCAGUCAGAGGCUUCCUCUGGGAGUGGAACUAAACUCAGUCUAAGUGUGACAAACUACAACCCUGCUUACUUUGGUACUGGCACCAAACUGUCAGCUUUGGAACCGAACCGAACACCCGAAGGACCAAAGGGUGGUGUGUUUGAACCUUCAGAAAAAGAGUGUCAGAAUGGGAAAACCAAGGAAAACAACAAGACCUUGCUGUGUGUGGCCUCGGAUUUCUAUCCGGACCAUGUGAGUGUGUCCUGGCAGAUUAAUGGGGUGGACAUCAAAGAUGGCAUCGCGACCGAUCACCGUGCCAAAUAUAAUGGCUCACAUUACCGCAUCACAAGCAGGCUGAGGGUCUCGUUCUCACGGUGGUUCACACCCGGCAAGAAUUUCACCUGCACCGUCAGUUUCUUCGAUGGGAACGACACUGUCCCACAUGUAGGCUGGGUUACAGGCACUUCAGGACCAAUGAGAGCCAAAUAUAUGAAGACCACAAACAACGCCAAACUGUCCUACGUGGUUUUGAUCAUUAAGAGCAGCAUCUACGGACUCUUCGUGGUGUUUCUGGUGUGGAAAUUUCAGAAGUUUCCAGGAAAACAGAAGAACUGAGAGCUGAUCUGGAAUCUGUGACUAACAAUGAAAAAUCAUUUAGAGUACAUAAAGCAUAUUUGCUUUCUAUUUCACCUGCUUUCCUUUAAAGUACAUGAAUAUGUGGGCAUCCAGUACUUGGCUGUUAGUUAGGAUUCUGUUAGUUUGUGCUUGUGAACUGCUUU